UACGUAGGGGGCGAGCGUUGUCCGGAAUUACUGGGUGUAAAGCGCGUGUAGGCGGCAGACCAAGUCGGCGGUGAAAGCGCCCGGCUCAACUGGGCGAGGUCCGUGGAAACUGGUCAGCUGGAGGACGGUAGAGGCGAGUGGAAUUCCCGGUGUAGUGGUGAAAUGCGUAGAGAUCGGGAGGAACACCUGUGGCGAAGGCGGCUCGCUGGGCCGGUCCUGACGCUGAGACGCGAAGGCGUGGGGAGCGAACGGG
rnacentral:rRNA from 1 species